rnacentral:rRNA from 1 species
ACGGGAGGCAGCAGUAGGGAAUAUUGCACAAUGGGGGAAACCCUGAUGCAGCAACGCCACGUGUGGGAAGAAGCAUUUCGGUGUGUAAACCACUGUCGUGAGGGAAUAAUGCUUGGUCUCGGCCAAGUUGAAUGUACCUCGAAAGGAAGCACCGGCAAACUUCGUGCCAGCAGCCGCGGUAAUACGAGGGGUGCAAGCGUUGUUCGGAAUUAUUGGGCGUAAAGGGCAUGUAGGCGGUUUUGCAAGCUUGAUGUGAAAGGCAGGAGCUUAACUCCUGGACUGCGUUGAGAACUGCAUGACUAGAGUCACUGAGGGGCAAUCAGAAUUCCUGGUGUAGGGGUGAAAUCUGUAGAUAUCAGGAAGAAUACCAAUGGCGAAGGCAGGUUACCAGCAGAUGACUGACGCUGAGGUGCGAAGGUGCGGGGAGCAAACAGGAUUAGAUACCCUGUA